GAGUUUGAUCCUGGCUCAGGACGAACGCUGGCGGCGUGCGUAAGACAUGCAAGUCGAGCGGUUCUCGGUUUCGGCCGGGGGCAGCGGCGGACGGGUGAGUAACACGUGGGUGAUCUGUCCUUGCGUGGGGGAUAUCCUUGCGAAAGCGAGGCCAAUACCGCAUGGGGUCUCGGGGGUGGAGCUCCGGGAUCAAAGCACGUGAGUGCGCGCGAGGAGGAGCCCGCGGCCCAUUAGCUAGUUGGCGGGGUAAGGGCCCACCAAGGCGACGAUGGGUAGCCGGCCUGAGAGGGUGGUCGGCCACACUGGGACUGAGAGACGGCCCAGACUCCUACGGGAGGCAGCAGUGGGGAAUUUUUCGCAAUGGGGGAAACCCUGACGCGAGCAACGCCGCGUGAGUGAUGACGGCCUUCGGGUUGUAAAGCUCUGUCUGCGGGGGCGAAGUCCCGGCGGCCGGGAGGUCGCGGGGGUGACGGUACCUGCGGAGGAAGCCCCGGCAAACUACGUGCCAGCAGCCGCGGUAAGACGUAGGGGGCGAGCGUUGUCCGGAAUGACUGGGCGUAAAGGGCGUCUAGGCGGUUCGAUACGUGGGGUGUGAAAGGCGCGGGCUCAACCGGCGGAGUGGUUCCGAAACGGCCACACUAGAGGGCAGGAGAGGUGCGCGGAAUUCCCGGUGUAGCGGUGAAAUGCGUAGAGAUCGGGAAGAACACCAGUGGCGAAGGCGGCGCACUGGACUGGCCCUGACGCUGAGGCGCGAAAGCGUGGGGAGCGAACGGGAUUAGAUACCCCGGUAGUCCACGCCGUAAACGAUGGGUACUAGGUGUCGGGGGGGAUCGACCCCGCGGUGCCGGAGCUUACGCACUAAGUACCCCGCCUGGGGAGUACGGCCGCAAGGUUGAAACUCAAAGGAAUUGACGGGGGCCCGCACAAGCAGUGGAGCAUGUGGUUUAAUUCGACGCAACGCGCAGAACCUUACCAGGGCUUGACAUUCGUCGCAACCCCCGGAAACCCGGGGGGCGCAAGCCGCAGAAGGGGGAGGACAGGUGCUGCAUGGUUGUCGUCAGCUCGUGUCGUGAGAUGUUGGGUUAAGUCCCGCAACGAGCGCAACCCUUGUGCGAUGUUGCCAGCGCUCAUGGCGGGCACUCAUCGCAGACCGCCGGUGACAAACCGGAGGAAGGUGGGGAUGACGUCAAAUCAUCAUGGCCUUUAUGUCCAGGGCUACACACGUGCUACAAUGGUAGAUACAGCGGGAAGCGAACCCGCGAGGGGGAGCCAAUCUCGAAAAUCUAUCGUAGUCCGGAUUGGAGUCUGCAACUCGACUCCAUGAAGCUGGAAUCGCUAGUAAUCGCGGAUCAGCAUUGCUGCGGUGAAUACGUUCCCGGGUCUUGUACACACCGCCCGUCACACCAUGGGAGUUGACUGCACCAGAAGCCGGUGGAGCGACCCCAACGGGGGGCGCCUACCACGGUGGUUGAUUGGGGUGAAGUCGUAACAAGGUAGCCGUAUCGGAAGGUGCGGCUG
rnacentral:rRNA from 1 species